rnacentral:SRP_RNA from 1 species
UGGAAGGCUAGAUCGGGCAGUUAGUCCCUGCCUGUCGCUGCAACCGGACUAUACGGCAGGAUCGAAGCUCAGGAAGCGAAGCUAUUUGCUAUCUUAGGGUCUUAGCUUUAACGUUGAGAAGCUGUCCUAUUGGAUCAGUUUUUAUGGCCAACGAGUCAGGUCAGGAAUGAAGCAGCUCAUGUCGUGAACUCUGGUGCUUAUAGGGUGCAGCUUUGAGGAGAAGCUAAGGUAAACCUUAUCUUAGCGAGGGUUUCCAUUUUUGGGCAUGCCUUCCA